rnacentral:rRNA from 1 species
GACGAACGCUGGCGGCGUGCCUAAUACAUGCAAGUAGAACGCUGAAGAGAGGAGCUUACUCUUCUUGGAUGAGUUGCGAACGGGUGAGUAACGCGUAGGUAACCUGCCUUGUAGCGGGGGAUAACUAUUGGAAACGAUAGCUAAUACCGCAUAACAAUGGAUGACACAUGUCAUUUAUUUGAAAGGGGCAAUUGCUCCACUACAAGAUGGACCUGCGUUGUAUUAGCUAGUAGGUGAGGUAAUGGCUCACCUAGGCGACGAUACAUAGCCGACCUGAGAGGGUGAUCGGCCAAACUGGGACUGAGACACGGCCCAGACUCCUACGGGAGGCAGCAGUAGGGAAUCUUCGGCAAUGGGGGCAACCCUGACCGAGCAACGCCGCGUGAGGGAAGAAGGUUUUCGGAUCGUAAAGCUCUGUUGUAAGUCAAGAACGGGUGUGAGAGUGGAAAGUUCACACUGUGACGGUAGCUUACCAGAAAGGGACGGCUAACUACGUG